rnacentral:tRNA from 1 species
UCCCUCGAGCCGGAUUUGAACCAGCGACCUAAGGAUCACCUUUGUAACAACUAGUCCUCCGCUCUGCCAACUGAGCUAUCGAGGG